GGGUUUGUAGCUCAGAUGGUUAGAGCACACGCCUGAUAAGCGUGAGGUCGGAAGUUCAAGUCUUCUCAAACCCA
rnacentral:tRNA from 2 species